AUUGAACGCUGGCGGCAGGCCUAACACAUGCAAGUCGAACGAGUGGCGGACGGGUGAGUAAUGUCUGGGAAACUGCCCGAUGGAGGGGGAUAACUACUGGAAACGGUAGCUAAUACCGCAUACCAUCAGAUGUGCCCAGAUGGGAUUAGCUAGUAGGUGGGGUAACGGCUCACCUCGGCGACGAUCCCUAGCUGGUCUGAGAGGAUGACAAGCCACACUGGAACUGAGACACGGCCCAGACUCAUACGGGAGGCAGCAGUGGGGAAUAGUGCACAAUGGGCGCAAGCCUGAUGCAGCCAUGCCGCGUGGGUGAAGAAGGCCUUCGGGUUGUAAAGUACUUUCAGCGGGGAGGCGUUACCCGCAGAAGAAGCACCGGCUAACUCCGUGCCAGCAGCCGCGGUAAUAC
rnacentral:rRNA from 1 species